AUUGAACGCUGGCGGCAGGCCUAACACAUGCAAGUCGAACGAGUGGCGGACGGGUGAGUCAUGUCUGGGAAACUGCCCGAUGGAGGGGGAUAACUACUGGAAACGGUAGCUAAUACCGCAUACCAUCGGAUGUGCCCAGAUGGGAUUAGCUAGUAGGUGGGGUAACGGCUCACCUAGGCGACGAUCCCUAGCUGGUCUGAGAGGAUGACCAGCCAACCGGGAACGGAGCAACGGUCCAGACUCCGACGGGAGGCAGAGGUGGGGAAUAUUGCACAAUGGGCGCAAGCUGGAUGCAGCCAUGCCGCGUGUAUGAAGAAGGCCUUCGGGUUGUAAAGUACUUUCAGCGAGGAGGCGUUACUCGCAGAAGAAGCACCGGCUAACUCCGUGCCAGCAGCCGCGGUAAUU
rnacentral:rRNA from 1 species